rnacentral:rRNA from 1 species
AUGAUAAGAGAUUUGUGGUGGGGAGACGAGGAUGGACACAGGAAGGUACACUGGAUGUCGUGGGACCGUAUGACUAAACCGAAAAGGGAUGGGGGUAUUGGCUUCAGAGAUAUGCAUCUCUUUAACCAGGCACUCCUCGCAAAGCAAGGGUGGAGACUGAUCCAGAACCCUAACAGCCUCUGCGCAAGAGUGCUUAAGUCAAAGUACUACCCUCAUGGAAAUGUCCUAGACAUCGUCUAUGCAUCAGAUGUUUCACCGGUGUGGAGGGGCAUUGAGUUCGGAUUGCAACUUUUGAAGAAGGGGAUAAUUUGGAGGGUCGGAGAUGGAAAAAGUAUACAAAUCCAGCGAGAUCAGUGGCUGCCU